UACGUAGGGUGCAAGCGUUGUCCGGAAUUAUUGGGCGUAAAGAGCUCGUAGGCGGUCUGUCGCGUCGGAUGUGAAAACUCGGGGCUCAACCCCGGGCCUGCAUUCGAUACGGGCAGACUAGAGUUCGGCAGGGGAGACUGGAAUUCCUGGUGUAGCGGUGAAAUGCGCAGAUAUCAGGAGGAACCCCAAGGGCGAAGGCAGCCUUCUGGGCCAACACUGAGGCUCAGGCACGAAAGCGUGGGAGCAAACAGG
rnacentral:rRNA from 1 species